rnacentral:rRNA from 1 species
GAAUUCGCCCUUAGAGUUUGCUUUCUGGCUCAGGACGAACGCUGGCGGCGCGCCUAACACAUGCAAGUCGAACGAGCGAGAGGGAGCUUGCUUUCUCGAGCGAGUGGCGAACGGGUGAGUAACGCGUGAGGAACCUGCCUCAAAGAGGGGGACAACAGUUGGAAACGACUGCUAAUACCGCAUAAGCCCACAGGUCGGCAUCGACCAGAGGGAAAAGGAGCAAUCCGCUUUGAGAUGGCCUCGCGUCCGAUUAGCUAGUUGGUGAGGUAAAGGCCCACCAAGGCGACGAUCGGUAGCCGGACUGAGAGGUUGAACGGCCACAUUGGGACUGAGACACGGCCCAGACUCCUACGGGAGGCAGCAGUGGGGAAUAUUGCACAAUGGGGGAAACCCUGCUGCAGCGACGCCGCGUGGAGGAAGAAGGUCUUCGGAUUGUAAACUCCUGUUGUUGAGGAAGAUAAUGACGGUACUCAACAAGGAAGUGACGGCUAACUACGUGCCAGCAGCCGCGGUAAAACGUAGGUCACAAGCGUUGUCCGGAAUUACUGGGUGUAAAGGGAGCGCAGGCGGGAAGACAAGUUGGAAGUGAAAUCUAUGGGCUCAACCCAUAAACUGCUUUCAAAACUGUUUUUCUUGAGUAGUGCAGAGGUAGGCGGAAUUCCCGGUGUAGCGGUGGAAUGCGUAGAUAUCGGGAGGAACACCAGUGGCGAAGGCGGCCUACUGGGCACCAACUGACGCUGAGGCUCGAAAGUGUGGGUAGCAAACAGGAUUAGAUACCCUGGUAGUCCACACCGUAAACGAUGA